UACAGAGACCUCAAGCGUUAUCCGGAAUCAUUGGGCGUAAAGCGUACCGAUAGGUGGUCUUACAAGUCAGAAGUGAAAUCUUAAAGCUUAACUUUGAGACUGUCUUUUGAAACUGUAAGACUAGAGGGGCAAAGAGGAAGCUGGAACGAACGGUGUAGUAGUGAAAUGCGUUGAUAUCGUUCGGAACACCAAUAGCGUAGGCAAGCUUCUGGGUGCCACCUGACACUGCUAGGACGAAAGCGUGGGGAGCGAAUGGG
rnacentral:rRNA from 1 species